rnacentral:rRNA from 1 species
GAUGAACGCUGGCGGCGUGCCUAAUACAUGCAAGUCGAGCGAACAGACGAGGAGCUUGCUCCUCUGACGUUAGCGGCGGACGGGUGAGUAACACGUGGAUAACCUACCUAUAAGACUGGGAUAACUUCGGGAAACCGGAGCUAAUACCGGAUAAUAUAUUGAACCGCAUGGUUCAAUAGUUAAAGACGGUUUUGCUGUCACUUAUAGAUGGAUCCGCGCCGCAUUAGCUAGUUGGUAAGGUAACGGCUUACCAAGGCAACGAUGCGUAGCCGACCUGAGAGGGUGAUCGGCCAGACUGGAACUGAGACACGGUCCAGACUCCUACGGGAGGCAGCAGUAGGGAAUCUUCCGCAAUGGGCGAAAGCCUGACGGAGCAACGCCGCGUGAGUGAUGAAGGUCUUCGGAUCGUAAAACUCUGUUAUUAGGGAAGAACAAAUGUGUAAGUAACUAUGCACGUCUUGACGGUACCUAAUCAGAAAGCCACGGCUAACUACGUG